AAGAGGAAAUGGUUAUUAUAGGCCAAGUCCCCGCCAAGAUAGAGGGUUCACAGGUAACCAAUUACUAAGAAAUGGACAAAACCAAUCAGAGUAGACCGUUUAGUUUUCUUAAACAGAGGGAGAGCAAAGUUUUCGUUCCAGGCAUCGCAACUCAGCACAUUCACCCUCAUUAGUUUCAAGAAUGAUAAUUUAUAAUUCCACAAGUCAGAUUGAUUUAGAUGUGUCAGGCGUAUGAAUCACGCUUGUUUCAAUGGUUUCUCAAUAUUUCAAUGUCUAAUUAACAUUCAAAUUUAUAGGCAAUGUUUUCAUUUUUGAGAUUUAUGUAAAAUCUAGCAUCUCUCUGGUUGUAGAAGUUAUUGAUCAAUUUAUUUAUUUAUUUAUUCAGUUUCAACAUUUU
rnacentral:misc_RNA from 1 species